UAUGCUAAAUGGAUAAACUCAGGUGACCUAUUGCUAUCUGUUUUCGUCCGUCGUCGUGCGUCGUGUGUUAACAUUUGAACAUUUUUAGCUUCUUCUCUGAAACCACUGAACCAAUUUCAACCAAAUUUGGCAUAUAGCAUGUAUGGGUGAAGGGGAACAAAAAUUGUGAAUUUCACGGUCCCUGUCCCCCUGGGGCCUGGGAAGUUGGUCAAAAACCACUAAAAUUAGUGCAAUCUUUAAAAAUCUUCUUCUUUACUCCUGGACAUCAAGUAGUUAAACUGUUGGUAUGAUCGUAAUCAGCAUUGAGUUCUCUACCAAAAUUGUGAAAUUUAUGGCCCCAGGGUCAGGGGUUCUUGUGCUAGGGCGGGGCUAAACAGGUUAUAUAGUGAAAAUGCAUUAUUUCUUUGAAAUUCUUCUUUUCUGUUUGUGAGCAUUAAAUAAACUAACCAAGUGCAAAGUUAUGUUGAAUAAGACUGCCUCUUCUCAAAUUGUGAAUUUAAUGGCCCCAGGGUCAGGGGUUCUAGUAGUAGGGUGGGGCUAUAUAGAUUAUAUAGUGAAAUUGCAUAAAUUCUUUGAAAUUCUUCUUCUCUGUUCAUGGGCAUUAGAUAAACUAAUCAAGUGCAUGGCUAUGUUGAAUAAGGCUGUCUCUUCCAAAAUUGUGAAUUUCAUGGCCCCAGGGUCAGGGGUUCUAGUGCUAGGGCGGGGCUAUAUAGAUUAUAUAGUAAAAAAUGAAUUAUUUCUUUGAAAAUUUUCUUCUUUGCUCCUGAGUAUUAAAUAAACUAACCACAUAAUUACAUAAGUACUUAAUUAUGUUGAAUAAAGCUACCUCUUCAAAAAUUGUGAAUUUCAUGGCCCCUGGGUUGGGGAUUCUGGCGUUAGGGUGAGGCUUUAUUGAAUAUAUAGUGAAAAUGCAUAAAUUCUUUAAAACUCUUCUUUUCUGCACCUGAGCAUUUAACCAAUAAACUAUGUACAUAGUUAUGAGGAGGAAUGCCUCUUUGAGAUUUUUGAAUUUCAGGGUCCCUGGGUUAGAGAUUCUUGUGUUAGGGGGUGGGGGUGGGGGGCUCUGAUGUUUAUAUAGUGAAAAUGCUUGAAUUCUUUGAAAAUCUUUUCCUUUGUUAUUUGAUAUGAUGCCAAUGAUCUUAGUAUAUAUUUAUGAAAAAACUGCUUCUUCCAAAAAUGAUUAAUUUCCUGUCCCCUGGGGCAGAGGUAUUUUGGGGUGGGGGGGGGGUAACAUAGUCUGAAAUAAUUUAAUGCUUUGAAGUUUGCACUUUGGUAUUAAUCAACAGCAUGAUGAAAUAAACUUUUUAAAAAUUUCCAAAAUUUCGAAAGAUGUGGCCCCAGGGUCAGUGGUUCCUGUGGGAUGGGGAGCUCAACUAUGGACCCGCCCUAACAUAAGAAGCCCUGACCCAGGGGCCAUGAAAUUCACUAAAAGUGGAAAUGCAUUUUCUCUUUGUUGCUCUGAUCUACCUCUGGGUUUUAAGUAACCAAAAUUAGCAUGCUGAGUGUAUAAUUAUGAUAAGCAAUGGUGCCUCUUUCAAAAUUGUAAAUUUCAUGGCCUCUAGUUUAA